UUGGUAUACAGCCAGUUUCACAGCAUCAUAUAAUAGUUGUUUGUCAGCAUUACUAUAUUUUAUUUACAAGCAAAAAUGAGGUUGAUAAGUUCAGGAGAUGUAAUUUUAAUUUGAGUGCAACCUUUGAAGUUACCAACCUUGUUUUUGGUUGUAAAUAGAAGCUGACUGUGCUGGCAAACAACUAUUAUAUGAUGCUGUGAAACUGGCAGUACACCAUGACUAGUUAAAUUGUGUCUUUUUCUUUACACUAUGUAUUCUGAUUAAUACUGACUACUUUAAUUUUUGUUUAUGUCAUCAACACACACAGACACACACAUAUGCAUAGAAACAUGUACACACACACACACACACACACACACACAUGUAUGUGUUGGGGAACUAUUACAAAGAAAAUAAGUACUAGUCAAGUACUGGAGAAACAAUUGAUCAUGCUUUUCCUCUUAUCCAAACUUUUGUGACAUUGUGCUGCAAAUGUUGAAAAUAUGCAUGGUCUUUCUCUCUUAUACAUAACAUCUACAUGAUCAUAUUUACAUUUAUUCGGGCUUACAUCAUGUGUAUUCAUGGUAUAUUGAUGUGUGGCAUAGCAAUUAUAUUGUACUGAAGCUUUUCAGACCAAUGUAGCUGUGAUAUUACACUGUUAUGGCUUGAUUUACUCCAUAUUCCUCAUCAGUACUUGGAGGUACUGAGUUUCAGAUGAUUAAGUGAGAUUUUCUCAUUCAGAUCACAAAUUAACAAUUUAUUUCUUUUCCACAACUUAAGGGGCCUACAGUUGCACUUAUAUGGACUUCUCAUAUUUUUUCUUACCAUCAUAAAAGUGUUACAUUGGGUAUAUUGGCUUUCCUUUAGGCCAAGAUGAACUGAAUUUUUCUCAUUUUUAGUUGGCAGAUACCGUCCUGCUUCUGCCUCACUCUGUUUCUCACGUCAUUCCUUUUCUCUCUCUCUCUCUCUCUCUCUCUCUCUCUCAGUGUUAUUUAGUCCUAAGGACAGUCUUGAUAAAACAGGCCUCGGAUCAAGGGCAUUCCAGCAGUAACCAUUGUAUCUUUUAUUGUCCUUUGUGUUCUGAGAGAGAUUCAGCUGCUAUUUCUAGUAAGUCUAGUAAGCAACUACAUAUAGGCCCCUUAUUGGCUCAUGUUUUUAAGACAUUUCAGUAGGUACCAUAGUGGUGUCUCUCACUUUUCUCCAGGCAGGUGUUCUGGUAGUGACAACCAAUGGCUCAUAAAGGAACUUUAUUGCACUUUAAAAGAUAUGGAGGUGUGUGUGUUUGCCGGUUUGUAUACAUGUAUGUAUACAUGUGUGUGUGUGUCUG